UCCGUCCACACAAACGCGCAUUCAGGGCAGAAGAGGAAGCGACGGCGCUUUUUUAACAGCGAGCCCUCCCCGGCACCUCGUUGUCAAGGCUAUGGAUUUAGUAUUACUUAAUCUGCUGGAGCUGUAUCAGCACUAAUCAUAUCUCACGUGCUGUUCAGGCUGCUCACUGAGCAACUUUGGCUUCUAUGCAGCUCCUUGGGACUUCACGACAGUAAACAUGACACUGAUUUCUCUGGAACACUGAGAUGCCACUGAAGUGUUUGUGAGGAAACAUACUACUCCAUAGUUUGUGCAGAAUUAAGUAGUGCACGGUAAGUUAAGCAAGUUACACCUUUCACAACAAGAAUAAAGUGAUGCAACAAAUAACUGUUCUUUCAGGGGAUAAUUCUGUCCUAUGCACAGAAAAACAAGGAUUCUUGUUGUGGGUCACCCCUGUUCUUCACCUUUACUUAUCCAUGACAUUGACUGGUCUCAGAUGGUCUAGGAAAAGGAGAGGCCACAGAAGGCAGACAUGAGGUAAUACUUUCCCACAAAUGUCCCAUCCUAUUCCUUAAUAGUUAGAUAUAAGUCCUGAAGCAGUAGCUUAAUACAACUUAUUUUGUUACUGAGAUAGGUGGAUGGUUUUCAUACUGGUAUAAAUGUUGAAUAUCUGUAUGGUAUUUAAACAUUGUAAUGGCAGUCGGUGGCAGAGUACCAUGUUGAAUUGUGACUUACAUAAAAAGGCAUUUCUUUUUUUUU